UCGGGUUCACCGUCACAAUACGCUUUCUUCUCAUGUCAUAAUACGCUUUUACAAUUUGUAUGGACAAAAUCGUAAUCGUAAUAUAAACAAGGUGGUACUAAUAAUUACGUAAAAACCCAAUUUCAUCUCCUGCCUCCCAAUCCCAUCUCGCGGCUUUCUUCGCCGUUCAAAACUCCUCCCUUUCCAGCGACGGCAGCGACGGCGGAGCACGAGCACGUGAGGGGCGGCGCCUUCCUCCCUUUCCAGCGACGGCAGCGACGGCGGAGCACGAGCAGGUGAGGGGCGGCACCUUCGUCGGACGGCUAGCCGCGGCGGAGGAGAAGGCGGACGCCAUGGGUGCGGCUACAGACGAGGCGGAGGAGAAGGCGGACGCCGUGGGCUUGCUGCACGGCUACAGCCGAGGCGGAGGAGAAGGCGGACGCCGUGGGCGUUCAUGGAGGAUGGUACACCGGCCGCCGGCUCCGGCCGCCAGUCCUCUCUGGCCUCCUCCGUGGUAUCCUUCUCAACCUCCGCUGCUCCUAUCGUGAUUUGGAUGGAAAAUUGGAGGCCGGCCGUGUCCUUCUCCAACACAAAUUGAUGUAGUGCCCGACCCGGAUUUGAUUGGCUGCUAUAAGAAGCAAGGGUCCUCGGCCGGAAUCUCCAUCAGUUCGCCGGAGGAAGAAGCGCCGAGUUCGCCGGAGGAACAAGCGCCGAGUUCGCCGGAGGAACAAGAACGCCCGCCGAGUCCUGUGGUGGCUACACGAGAGGCCCUUAAGAUGAGUGAUGAACAUCCGUUGAGCCGUCCAAUGUUGCCUUUGGCAACUACACCAGAGGUGCCAAAGGCAUCCAAUCCAACUCAGGUGGAGGCCAAGGAGGUUCAGCUCUCGGACAUUGCACCAAUAAUGCUGGAUGUACCGACGUGAAGACUAAAAUAGAUGACAUCGCUGAACUGGACAUUGCAGAGGAUUUUGAUAACCGGCCUUCCAAAAAGGCAAAAAUUUCUGAAUCACGUGUACUGGAACCAUCACCUAUGUCACCAACUAUGAAAACAUCUUCUCCAGGUUCAGAGUGUUUUGAAUCGUUUGUGCCGGAAUCAGAUAAUCAGAUGAAUCAUGAUACACUACCAUCACCUCCAUCCCCAUCUAGCUCGACAAUAUCUCCUGUUUUCCCAUUGCAUGAUAUUAAGGAACCAAAUUCACAUAAAGAGAUCAAAGUUGAUGAGACAUAUGAUUAUCUCCCACAAGACUAUACAUUGACUGAC